UAUACAUUAGGGCACGCUGAGCAGAGCAACACUGACACAUCCAUUAGCCAUUGAAGAUGAAGAGAAUUUCUCUGCGAAAUGGCAAUGCUAUUCCCUUUAUCUCUUUCUUCCCUAAUUCACAUUCUGCUUCCGCAAUUUCAGGAAAGGGUAAAGUUGGGUUAAACAGUAGCAAUUUUGACAAAGUAAAGAGUUUAGAUGAUGCUGUGAAUCUCUUCAAUCAAAUGGUUAGAAUGAAACCUCUUCCUUCACUUGUCCAUUUCUCUAAAUUGUUUAAGAAUAUGAUAAGUAUGAAGUAUUACAUUGCUGUCCUUUCUCUUUUUCGAGAAAUGCAGAAAUUGGGUAUCCCAAUUAGUGAAUUCAUCUUGAAUAUCGUGAUUAAUAGUUAUUGUCUGAUGCAUCGUUCUGAUUGUGCAUUUUCGGUGUUACCCAUUUACUUGAAGAAUGGCAUUCCAUUUGGUAUUGUCACCUUUAACACCCUAUUAAGAGGAAUCUUUGCUGAAAAUAAGGUCAAAGAUGCAGUUGAAUUGUUCAAAAAAUUGGUGAGAGAGAAGAUUUGUGAGCCCGAUGAAGUCAUGUAUGCAACCGUCAUGAAUGGGCUCAGCAAAAGGGGCCAUACUGACAAGACUUUAAGUUUGCUCCGUUUAAUGGAACAAGGGAACACUAAGCCCAACAUAUAUAUCUACAACAUUGUUAUAGAUUCCCUUUGCAAAGAUAGAAACUUAGAUGCUGCUAUCACUCUUUUGAACGAGAUGAAGCAGAGAGGCAUUCCUCCAGAUGUAGUCACAUAUAGUUCAUUAAUUGAUGGUUUGUGUAGGAUUGGUCAGUGGGAAAAGGUUAAGAUUUUGUUCUCUGAGAUGGUGAACCACAAUAUUUAUCCAGAUGUGUGCAGCUUCAAUAUACUAACAGAUGGACUAUGCAAAGAAGGGAAAGUUGAAGAUGCCGAGGAAAUAAUGAAACACAUGGUCAAAAAGGGUGUAGAGCCUAAUAUAAUCACCUACAAUGCGAUUAUGGAUGGAUAUUGUUUGUGUGGUCGACUAGAUAGAGCAAGAAGAAUUUUUGAUAUCUUGAUAGAUAAGGGCAUUGAGCCUGACAUUUUUAGCUAUAACAUACUAAUAAAUGGAUACUGUAAGAAAAAGAAUUUGGCUAAGGCCAUGCAAUUGUUUUGUGAAAUUUCUAGAAAGGGAUCAAAAGCUGAUAUUGUUACCUACAAUACUAUCUUGCAAGGUCUGUUUGAAGUUGGAAGAACUGGUGAAGCAAAACAAAUUUACGCUGAGAUGCUAUCUACUGGACAAGUACCUGACUUAUGCACUUAUUCCACUUUGCUCAAUGGUUAUUUUAAGUACGGAUUCGUUGAAGAAGCUAUGUCACUCUUUAAUAAGUUGGUUGGAAAGAAAGAAACUAUUGAUAUUAUAUCUUACAAUAUUAUCAUUAAUGGAUUGUGUAAAAAUGGUGAACUCGAUAAAGCUCAUGCUAUUUUUGAGAAGAUUUAUUCAAUGGGAUUGCUUCCAAAUGCGAGAACAUACAAUACAAUGAUAACUGGAUUUUGUCUAAAAGGGUUGUUAGAUGAAGCUAUAGAUAUGCUUAGAAAAAUGGAGGGGAACAAUUGUCUUCCAAACAAUGUCACUUACAAUGUUAUUUUGCAAGGAUAUCUUAGGUGCAGGAAAAUAAAUGAAAUGGUAACUUUUAUGAAGGAAAUGACUGGAAGGUGCUUCUCAUUUGAUGCAACUACAGCAAAGUUACUGGUAAACUCUAUAAGUGAGAAUCCUUCCGUCCUUGACAUGAUACCAGAGCUUCAUGUGGAAAACAAGAAGUGAAUAUUUCUUUCGCUUGGUUUAUUCGGCUAUGUUAUAACUUUGAUACAAUUUCGGUUUAUCACCUCACAUGAAAAGGAAUCCAAUGCAAUUGUGGAAGAUGAAAAAUGAAAAUCAGAACGUUGCUUGGGUUUUCAUGCUGGCUUAUCGAGGAGAACAGGUUCAUCACGGUCACGCCUGAAACUGAAGUUCUGAAAGCGAAGCAACUGAUGAUAGGUUGAUGCAGGGCAAGUUGCUAGUUUUGCACUGAGUUACAACAAGCUUUGUUUAUGUUAUUAUUUUUUCCGAGAAUCUAACUUGAUUUCUUGCAGGCUAGUGUUGGUCUUGACACUUUUACUAUGUGCAUUUCCAGUAGUUUUGCAGUUUCCUGUUGGCUUGGAAAUCUUUUUUCCUAGUUUCUAACUUGGUGGUUUGAUCUUGUGUAACUGUACUAUUUGCUACAACUGUGCACAAUCUCGUUAAAAAUGAAAGCUCCAAAUUUAAGGCAGAUAAUUGGGGGUCUUUUGUAGAGAAUCAUAUAUUUUUUUGAAACUUGUAGUGAAUCAUAUUUCUGCGUGUGUUUCUAUGGAAUGACUAAAGUGCUGCUAUAAAAGGGAUCAAGAAGAUGCUGGUUAGAUAAUUGGGGGUCUUUUGUAGAGAAUCAUAUCUUUUUUAAUGGUUUUCACAUUUUUAACGUUUGUUAAUUUAUCUGCAGGUUGAUGCAGGGCAAGUUACUAGUACGGGAAUAGUUGCACCAAGUUAUGUUCAGAAAGUUGCACCAUGUACGGGAAUGGUUGCACUGAAUUAGUAUCUUAAGGACUUCAGUUGUGACUUGCUUUUCUUAAACUCUUUUCUGCGAUGCAGCUGUCUCUAGCAUCAGACUUUAUGUACAACCAACCAUAUGUCUAGAGAUGUUACAUCAAGCUUUGGUUAUUACAUCCUUCGGCAGGUCGAUCACAAAAAGAAAGACUACUAGUUUGGUUUUGGACUUGCAGUUGGAGAAUAGAAGAGGCAGCUUAAACAGAGGGAUUAGGGGUAAACAUAUGAGCACAAAAUAAAAGCAUCUUAACAAGUGAUGUUUUUCUAUAAAAGGAUCGAAACAUCAGUUUUGUAUUUUUAUAGAGCAGACAUUGUUUCUGGAGCAUACAUAUCAUCAACUGGUGCAACUAGUCACUAAUAGUUGAUUUUGCAAUUUGGGACAAUUCUUUAGACAAUUUAGAAUUGUAGAGUUGACUUUAUUCAAAUACAGAGAUCUAUCAUUAUGAUUUUACUGCAUCUGGCUACUAUGUGCUGAAUAAUUCUAUUAUUAAAUUUAAUGUAGUGUUUAGAGAUUUUGAAGGUAUUUGAAUA